rnacentral:rRNA from 1 species
CUUUUUGAAGUCUUCGGAUGGAAAGAAGAACCCCUGAUGCCGUCGAGCCAAGAAAAGUUUCUAAGUUUAGCUAAUGUUGCCCGUACCGUAAACCGACACAGGUGGGUGGGAUGAGUAUUCUAAGGCGCGUGGAAGAACUCUCUUUAAGGAACUCUGCAAAAUAGCACCGUAUCUUCGGUAUAAGGUGUGCCUCCCUUUGUAUUAGGAUUUACUCCGAAAGCAAAGAAGGUUACAACAAAGAGUCCCUCCCGACUGUUUACCAAAAACACAGCACUCUGCUAACUCGUAAGAGGAUGUAUAGGGUGUGACGCCUGCCCGGUGCUCGAAGGUUAAUUGAUGGGGUUAGCAUUAGCGAAGCUCUUGAUCGAAGCCCGAGUAAACGGCGGCCGUAACUAUAACGGUCCUAAGGUAGCGAAAUUCCUUGUCGGUUAAAUACCGACCUGCAUGAAUGGCGUAACGAGAUGGGAGCUGUCUCAAAGAGGGAUCCAGUGAAAUUGUAGUGGAGGUGAAAAUUCCUCCUACCCGCGGCAAGACGGAGAGACCCCGUGGACCUUUACUACAGCUUGACACUGCUAUUUGGAUAAGAAUGUGCAGGAUAGGUGGGAGGCUUUGAGUAUAUGACGCCAGUUGUAUAUGAGCCAUUGUUGAGAUACCACUCUUUCUUAUUUGGGUAGCUAACCAGCUUGAGUUAUCCUCAAGUGGGACAAUGUCUGGUGGGUAGUUUGACUGGGGCGGUCGCCUCCCAAAUAAUAACGG